GAGGUAAUUAGAAGAAUGACACUGCAUUUUCAGAAGGGUUUCGGAUCACUUAGCUGUGCAGAUCAGAGAUGUUACGUAGUCCCUUAAAGCUCCACGAAGCGGGGACCUGGGGCAGCCCCAGGAAAUAAAGCCUUGCACCUAUUUCUCGAGUCCAAAGCGGCGAAAGGGUUAAGGAGUCCUGAACGGGGCUCGCACAAGGGCAAUUGGAAAAACCGAAUCGCUUCCAAGACAUCCGUUUAGUCAGUACGAAAAAAAAAAAGCCUUGCAAAAUGUGGUUUGGGGAAACCUGCAGAGGAAAUGGACACAGUCUGCGCUUCAGGGCUCAGUCCUCACGGUGAAGCUGAAGGAAUCAGCAGCUUCCAGUUAACACAAUUCAACCCCAGAUGAUUCUGUCCGUGGACUUCUCCUGUUCAUAGGGCUGCAUAGUUUCAUAUGUAUUUUUUUUACCACCACACAAAUCAAGCACGCUCGACCAGGUUUUUAAGGAUUGGAUGAUUUAUAUGCAUCAAAUCGGAUCUCUGAAAGCUUUUGUUUCACUCGCAUGCUUGAUAAUAGUUCUGUUAUCAGCAAUGUGCAUCUGUAAAUGUUAAGAAUCUAAAAUUUGUCCUUUAUUGUGACAUUGUAGGAACGAAAAUGUAGAAUAUAAUGAAGUAAACCUUUUAUUACGUUUCAGCACACGACGUAAAAUAAAGUUUCGGAGACGUUAAGUGCAAGGAACUAGGCUGUCCUAGAGCAAAAUCGCUUUAAAAAAACGGAGAAAAAGACCCAUGUCAUUACCAAAUGUGGUCUGUAUGAUUUGCUUAAGUAAAUUAACGGGUGUUUGAAAAUGUGCGUGUCACUAUAUUGAAUUAAGCAUAUAUUGCUCUAAGUAAUGAAAUAAAAUAAUCUGGAUUUGGUCAGCA